rnacentral:tRNA from 1 species
CAAGGAAUAGUUUAAUAAAAAUAAUAAUUUUGGAGAUUAUUGAUAGAGAGAUUUUCUUUCUUUGAA